rnacentral:lncRNA from 1 species
AAAUGACACAUGCUGUGCUGGUUUCUGAAAAUCAAGAAGCCUGGAGAGAAAUUUAUGACUUUGAAACAAAAUUUAGAGGUUGAAGGAUUUAGCAGUUUGCAAAGAACAUGGAGCUAAGCCCUUGAAAAAGGCUGUUCAAAAAGUCCUGGCCUAAAGUGCCAAGGUCGUUUUCAGAAGUCUCCGCAGAAGCUCUUAGGAAUCUGAAAGCGUAAAAAUGGGGAGAGAGUAUUUUGAAGAUAUCUUUCCCCCGAAAGCUGGUGCUCGUGAGCCUGUGCAUUUUCCCACACGAAUAUGCUCGGCCGUUAUGUUAGCCAGGCAUUUCCUGCAUGUGGCAGUUCUGGAGGCCAGAAGUCCAGGGUCAAGGUGCAGUGGAUUCAUUUCCUGGUGAGGACCCUCUUCCUGGUUUGUACAUGUGAUUCCUAGAAGUCUCCAGUUUGAAGUUCUCUUGUCCUUUGACCAAGCGUCCAGUACAUCCUCACAACACUCCAAAGCCACCUUGAAGACUCUCUUCAAAGCAGUUCUUACUGUUGAUACCACCACCAUUGUUCCUGA